rnacentral:lncRNA from 1 species
CCUUUUGCGGCACAUUGGCAGGGAAUUCUGCACUUGCUAGGCUGCGGAGUUUGCUGGUGAAAUUUGUAGCGAAUGAAGUGUCAUUUAGAGGUGGUAGAUUUGGUUUAUAGAGCGGCAGUUUCUUAGGGGAGUGGCUUGAUUUAAUGGUUUUGUGUGAUUCUUCAUAUUCUAAGAUUCCAGCAACAGUUGAAUUAUCAAAAGUUCCUUGGCCAGUCACGUAAGGUCUAGCAGACAUGAAAAAACUGGCGUUUGGGUGGUGGGGCUUGGUCUUUAGAAGAACAUUUGUGGUUUGUCCAGGAGCAAUGAGAAGUGUCUCGGUAUCAAAUGGUUUCACAUAAAUAGCAUCAACAUCAACAACUGUGAGUGUAUGGUUUGCAAUGCUGAAGAAGAGCUCGUCAUUGAGUGCGGCGUUGAUCAUGCGAAGAAGGUAAGUCUUUCCUGGCUUUACCUUCAUCUUGAAAGUAUCUGCCAAGCACCAUGCACACAAGGUGAAUGAGAGAAAAACAAAUGCUCUAACAUGGUUGUAGAGGGCCUACUGCGCUAACAUAUUAUACCUUUGGCAGAGCAGUUAUACAAUGGCCCUGGAAAUCCAUUGAUGGUGUAGGCAUCGGAGACAUUUGGACCUCCACCCGUUUGCAUUGCCUGGUUAAUGAUUGCCUCUGGAUCUGCAUUGAACCACUCCCCUGCAAUUUAUUUUGCAUUAUCGUUUGUGUUAGCAGACAUAGGACUCCAUCAACAGGGAAAACAAAUUGAUGCAAGUUUUAACGAGCUCUUAUUCAGAGUAGCUUAAUUAGUUUCUUAUAGUAGAUUACCGAAGAUGAUCGGAACUUCCUUGUGAGGUUUAGCAAAUGGAUAAGUAGUCCCGAGUUUGGGAAGAAUGAUAAGUGGACCGUAGAGAGUUGAUCUUAGCCAUGAUAUAUGAGCAUGCCACCAGAGAGUGCCUCUUUGUCCUACGAUGGUGUAGUUGUACACAUAGCUCUGUCCAGUUUGUAUAGGGCACUGAGUUAUGUAUGCCGGUCCAUCAGCCCACCCACUUCGAAGCUGCCGGAUUCCAUGCCUGUAUCAAUGAAAUCGUUGACAGAGAUUUAGACUCAGCUUUUUCUAUGUAAGGUUCACUAAAGUUGGAGAAAAUUGAAGGAGACCAGUCCAUAUAUAUAUACCAGUGAAUAGAGAUAUUGUUUGGGACAUGGUUAACCACUUUAAUAAGAAGACGAUCACCCUCCCUAGCAACAUUGAGCUCCUUGUAAUUGAUCAAAAAGGUCAUCAAUGCGAGGGAGUGGGUAUCUAUUCUUAAUAGUGACCCUGUUCAACUGCCUGUAGUCUAUACACAUCCUCAUCGAUCCAUCCUUCUUCUUUACAAAUAAAACAGGUGCCCCCCAUGGAGACACACUCGGACGAAUAAAUCCCUUAUCUAACAAAUCUUGAAUCUGCUCCUUCAACUCUUUUAAUUCUGCUGGCGCCAUCCUGUACGGUGCCAUAGAGAUUGGUUUUGUUCCUGAAUCUAGAUCAAUACAGAAUUCGAUUUCCCUAUUGGGAGGUAGUCCAGGUAAGUCAUCGGGAAAAACAUCGAUGAAUUCCUUAACUAUCGAAACUUGUUCUAUCCCCGAGACCUCCAUAUUCACAUCAUGCACAUAAGCCAAAAACCCUUGCAUACCCUUUCGUACCAUCCUUCUCGUGAUGGCCGAGAGAAUACUAGAUGGAGAUGAUAACCCAUCUCCAUGAAAAGCAAACUCUGUCUCCUCAUCAGGCUUGAAAACCAUUGUCUUAUUCCAACAGUCAACUGAGGCAUGAUGCCUUGACAACCAGUCCAUACCUAGUAUCACAUCAAAACCUACUAUUUCUAAAAUUACCAAAUCACCUAAUAGGUUUCUACCUUGCACUUCAACUUCACAAUCAACAUAAACAUAUUCCCCAAACAUAACCUCAUCUGAAGGGGUAGCCACACAUAAAGGACUCUCUAACAAAAUGGGUUGUUUAGUAAACCUUAAAGCAAAAUAUGAUGACACAAAAGAAUGAGUAGCCCCGGUGUCAAAUAAAACUCUAGCCUCGAAGGAACAUAUCAAAAGUGUACCUGAGACAACAGUAUUGGAUGCCUGGGCAUCCUGCUGAGUAAUGGCAAAAACUCGUGCCUGUCUCUGACUUGUUGGCGCAAAACCUCUACCGCCUACUCCACGGCCCCGCUGGCCACGCUCACCAGCUCCACGACCACCCUGAAAUACAGACUGACUAGCUGACUGAGUCUGAGUAGGAGAUGUAAUCGGUACAGAAGCACUAGGCUUGGACCACCGCUUGUUCGGACAAUCCCUCAAUAAGUGAUCAGUCUGCCCGCAACCAAAACAAGCUCCUGUCUGCCUAUAACAGACUGUGCCGUAAUGCCUAGACCCACAAGACUGACAUUGAGGCCUCCCAUAUGAACCUUGUGGUGUUAACUGAACCAUACUUCGACUCUGAGUCGGACCAGCUCCACUCAUGUUAUGUCUAUUGUUUCCCCCAACAGUAGACCUCGACAAUGAAUUCCUUGAUUGACUUAAUUGGCCCUGCCGGCCUCCCUGUCCCCUGUUAGGACCUGUAUCAGACCGCUGAUGAAAAGAGAACUGAUUUGCCACCUUGGGCCUCUUGACUGAACCCACUGAUAAAUCAUCCUCUAACUCUCAUGCCUCAAUAGCUCGGGCACGAUCCACUACGGCUGAGUACGUCUUAAACUCAUGAGCCCCAAUAGCUUUGAAUAGGUAGUUAUUAAGACCCCGAAUAAACCUCUUGAUCUUCCUCUCCUCAGUCGGUACCAAAUACCCAGCAAAUCUGGACAACCGUGUGAAUUCCACUUCAUACUCUGUCACAGUCAAGUCACCCUGAACCAACUUCUCAAACUCGUAUGAUCUAGCUUCCCUCACACUUUCAGGUAGAAAACGCUCCAAAAAUAUCUCAGAAAAUUCCUUCCACUCCAUCGGUGGAGAACUAUCUGCCCUUUCACCUCUUUUGGACUCAUACCAGUUCACAGCCACCUCGCCUUCUAACCUAAAAGAUGCUAAAGUCACUGCACGAUGAUCUGUGCACCCCAUGGCCUCACACCUGCGCCACACUGCAUCUAAAAACUGUUGUGGAUCCUCAGAGUUAUCGACACCCUUAAAGGUAGGAGGUGCCAACUUAAGGAACUCUGCCAAUGGCACUUUCACCCCAUGCACUGUAUGGGAAGUCGAAGAUGCAUUCUUAUCCUUCUCCUUUUCUUUCUCAGUUAAAAGGUCAGCCAGGGUCUGCAUGGCCUGCCCAAUUUUAUCCAAAGCACUAUCAGUAUAAGACACCCUAUCAUGGGAUUCCUGCUCCUGGUUCUUACCAACAUCCAGACCAUAGUCCCCCUCAAAUUCAACCUCAUCCUGAACUUCUGCUUCAAUUGGUUGAGGCGAAGGGUUUCUAACUCUCUUUUUGCGCCUCUCCUUCCUAAGCUGAGCGAUAGGAAUGUCCUCUUGAUCAUCGGUAUUAAUUACAUGUUUAGCCCUCGGCAUAUUUCUAAAAACAAAAUGCAUAUUUAUCACAAGAAGAAGACAUGCUUGAUGAGAAUUCAAAAUUUCAAAAACAACAAACAAAACGAUACGGAUCCUAAUGCUCCACUUAUUACGAAAUUUUGAAUAAUAAAUAAAUAAAAUAGAUUACGAGGUUUUAAUAAAACCAUGCUCUGAUACCACCUUUGUCACGACCCGAAUCCCGGAUCCGUGACCGGCAACGUAGGAGCGGUGUCGAAAGGACACCUCACCUACGCUAAGCCUCAGAACAGACAUAUCAAAAACAAUUUGUUCAAAAAUACGCAGCGGCUCAUAAUAUUCAGAAAUAUAUUAUUAAUUCAAAACCGAAAGAUAGUUAUUAAAACAAAAAUAAUAAUUCAUAAUACUAUUACAUUGUCAAAAUCCAAAUUAAUUAAAACAAGGUAACAGUGGAGCGUCUAAGACAUCAAAUCAAAACUGAAAGGAAAGCCUCGCGAACAAGCAAGGCAUACCGACCAGAACUGAAGAAGCGGAAACACUCAACAAAGUCCAGAAACUAAAACCUGAAAUAAUAUUAAAAAUGAGGGUGAGUUCAACCAACUCAGUGAGGGGAAUAACAUUUAAUAUACAUUUCAUAUAUUUCAGAUAUUAUUUGCAAGAUGAUUUAUCUUGAUAUACAUAUACAUAUACAUAUACUUACUAAACAUAUUAUCAUAACGUAGCAUAUUAUCAUAACGUAGUGGAUUACAUGUCAGAGAACAGAUGACACCCGAAGGUGACCAGAUGACACCCGUCGGUGACCACUGUGGGAUGAUCAAUCACCACAGGCUGAUGCCUCUCUCACCAGCUAGGUAACAGAAUACUAUGUGCACACAGGCUAACUAUUCUCCGUUAGCAUGGAGUACUGACAAGUCCCAUAUCAAGGCAUAACAGAUAUUCACAUAAUCAUCAAAGAAGCGUAUAUCAUAUCAAAUAGAAUUUACUUUAUCAGAUUGCGAGUGCAAAUUCAAGAAUAAAUGAGUACUCGGAAAAUAAAGCAACAUAUAUAAAUAUUCAAGAAAUUACUAGUCGUACUCAUUGUAUAAUCAACAUACAUAUUUAUUUAUAUUAUAUGCAUAUUAAAGAUUAUUCCACUCACCCGGAAAAUACUGAACUAAAGGAAUGUCAGGCAAAAGACCCGAAAAUCCGAUUAAGGAUCGUUAGGAGAACCUACAAUAAAUAUAUGAAAUAUACUCAAAAACAAAUCAAACAAAAGAUACAAAUGCAUAAAAUAAACUGGGCUUAAUCUCCCAGUUUAGGGACUAAAACGACAAUUUUCCAAAACAGGGACCAAAACGUAAUUUUACCAAAUUUGAGGACCGAAUUGUAAAUAUAUAACCAUACUGAAAUUAUCCAUAAUUCGUCCUUAUCUUUGUCCAGAAUAUCAAUUAUGCCCAAGGUCCAAAAUUGAUUUAUCAAAAUAUUAGGGUCAAAUCGUAAUUUGUCAAAUUGGAGGACCAAACUGAAAAUAUUAAUUAUACUGGAAUUUUGUCCUUAAAUCAUCCUCAGUUCUGUUCAGAACCUCAAUUUAUGCCCCAGGGACCAAUCUGUAAAAUUUCCAAAGUUCGGGGACUAAACUGCAAUUUCCAAAAUUGAGGGACCAAACUGAAUUUUCGUCAUCUUCAACCUCAAACCCAGAAUUUCAACAGAUCACCUACUGUUAGUUCCAGAUUUAUACCUCAACUUCAUCAUUCAAUUCAACCAUAACUCAAAAUCAUCAUAUUUCUCUAAAUCUCUCCAAUUCAACUAAAUAAUCAAAUACCCACAUCAAUCAACCCUUAAUUCAAACUAAUUCAUCAAUAACUCAAAAUUCAAAACUCUAAAAUUAAUCAAAACCGAAAUUUAAAGCUAAAGAAAACAUAUUAUACAUAUUCAAGCAUAAUCUUACCUUUUACUUGUUUUCUUCACCUUUUCCUUUUCCCUUAUUUUCCCUCUUUUCUCUUCUUCUUCUUCUUCCUCUCUUCUCUCCUGCCGGUUCUCUCUCCAAAUUCAGAUCCUUCUUUUUUUUUUUUUUUCUUCUUAUAUAUAUUUAUCAACUAUUGGUCAAUUACCACACUACCCUUCAAUCAUUUAUACCCUCUUUUAAGCCUCCAAGGGCUUUAUUGUAUUUUCAAAUCUUUUUAAUACAAAACAUCACACGAGGCUUUCCUUUAAGUUUUGAUUUGAUGUCUUAGACGCUCCAUUGUUACCUUGUUUUAAUUAAGUUUGGAUUUUGAUAAGUAAUGAGUAUUAUGAAUUAUUAUUUUUGUUUUAAUUACCGAUGAGAAGUUUUGAACUAUCUUUCGGUUUCAUCAGUUUUGAAAAAUAUGAUAUUUCUGAAUAUUAUGAGCCGCUGCGUAUUUUUGAACAAAUUAUUCUUUUGAUAUGUCCGUUUUGAGGCUUAGCAUGGGUGAGGUGUCCUUUCGAUACCGCUCCUGCGUUGCCGGUCACGGACCCGGGAUUCGGGUCGUGACGCAGCCGUUCUUGUGGGUGCUUAGGACUGACUUUCCUGAUGGUAUAAGGCAAAAAAAAAAAAAACACUGUAGGGGAUAGAGAUUGCAUUGUGAAAUGAACAGCACAAAUGGAAGUGUUAGCACACGCUGCAGUUGGAGGGUUUUGGAACCAUGGUGGCUGGAAUCCUACAAUGGAAAGUUUAUCCGUAGGAGUUCCGGCGAUAUGCAAAACUAACAUUCUUCGGGGAUCAAAGGGUGGAUGCAAGAUAUGUGAGUCAUGUAUGGAAAGUAGGCUUCGAGUUUGAGCCUGAAAUGGAGAGAUGGAAGAUUGAAGAAAGAGCUGUAAGAAAACUAAUGGUGGACAAAGAAGGGGGGGAGAUGAGGCAGAUAGCAGUGGACUUGAAGCAGAAGUUUGAAUUGAGCAUAAGCGAUGCGAUGGUGGUUUUUCUUCUAAUUCCUUGAAUGGAUUAGUAGAGUUCAUAAUGUCUUGUUUUUGAUUGCCUACACUGAUUAGUUUGUGUUUGUUUCCUCACAAUCUUUUUCAAUAAGUAGCUAAGUUUGUUCGAAAAUGCAUUUUUGGUGAGAAUGCUAGUGUGGAUUUUAGAGAUGAGGGAUUUGAAUCACUGGCCAAAUUGUACAUUUUCAAAGUUAAAAGUUGUGGUUAAAUGAGUCUUCUGCGCUGGUUUUGGACAGGCUCAAUCAUCAUUUUGUCUUGCACUUUGUUAGUUUCGAUCAGUUCACUUUUAUUGUGAUGUUCUUUGUUCUUAAACCUUAGCACAAGAAAAGGAAAUGGCAGUCACAUGAAAAAAACCUUCAAGCAGCCAGCUAAUUGUCCCCAGAUUGAAGCCAUUUGAAUCCGGAAGUUCUGAAACUAAACAAGUUCGAGCUCUUCAUUUCGUUCUUUAUUAUACAAUAAGAAAUUCAUUUUGCUAAUAUGUAGUCUCUCAAUUGUGAUACUGCUAUAAACAUUUGAGCUUCUUGCACGCGUUAGCUCUAUCUUGAGAAAACAAAUGUGAAUAAAAGCAAAAUCUUCCUUGCAAAUUAAAUAAUUAACAUGUUGAAAAAAGCAUUGUAAAUUCGUUUCCUUCCUCAACUCCGACAUGGGUGAUAAAGAUAACCUCGGAAGACUAAUGCUCAUAAAAAAAAUUGCUCAAAGGAAAUAAAUUGACUGGUUGCAAAGAAAAUCCGAAGAAAAAAUAAAUCAUCAGGGCAGUUUCUGGUCUCAGUGUAGUGAAGAAGCAGCUCGAAGCCUUGAAUGUCAACACUUGGGAAGAUCGGCUGGUGGAGGAAGAAGCUUCUGAUUGGGAAGCUUUCCAUCCAGGACGACCCAAGCCAUCUUCAAGCCCCAGCUUGUGUGCACUUCUAGAUGGCAAUGCAUGAACCAUACACCUGAUGAUGUCAUCAUCCACAAAUGAUACAACUCAGCAAAACAUGGUACUACGUACGUACAUACAUAAAUCUAAUUAUCUAAGCCAGGAUAUUACUUAGCAGAUUAUAUACUUAUAAUUAAUUACCAACCUGGGUUGUCGGCUAGAAAACGUAUAGCAACCCAGCCUCCAGAGGGCACUCCCACGGUAUUCCUUUCAACGGGGUCGACAAGAUUGAAAUUUGCAGGAUCCUUUUUUGGAUCAAAGUUCCCAAAUCCUUGACCAACAACAAAGAAAUUGAAACCAUGCAAAUGAAGAGGGUGGCUCUCUGCACCGAGGAGGCUAGUGUCCUGCAUAAUGAGCUCCACGCUGGUGUUAAAAGGAAGAACAACUAGCUUUGUUCCAUUGCUCACCAUAGUAUUGUUUGGCGGGGUGCCGGUAUAAUUAAAAGGGAUUAGUGGAUUGAUUGGAAAGUUAGGGCUGUAAACGCCCUUUGAUUGACCAAAAUGAUGGGCUUGGAGUAGAGCUUUGGUUGGCAUCACAAAUGAUACAUUAUUAACUGAAGCUGCAAACUUUGUUCCGUUCGGUCCCUGACAGGUUUGGUUUUUGGAGCAUGGGUGUGUUCCGAGGCCUACAGUGAAGAAAAAUUGCCUGUCUACCUUUUGCGGCACAUUGGCAGGGAAUUCUGCACUUGCUAGGCUGCGGAGUUUUGCUGGUGAAAUUUGUAGCGAAUGAAGUGUCAUUUUAGAGGUGGUAGAUUUGGUUUAUAGAGCGGCAGUUUCUUAGGGGAGUGGCUUGAUUUAAUGGUUUUGUGUGAUUCUUCGUAUUCUAAGAUUCCAGCAACAGUUGAAUUAUCAAAAGUUCCUUGACCGGUCACGUAAGGUCUAGCAGACAUGAAAAAACUGGCGUUUGGGUGGUGGGGCUUGGUCUUUAGAAGAACAUUGGUGGUUUGUCCAGGAGCAAUGAGAAGUGUCUCGGUAUCAAAUGGUUUCACAUAAAUAGCAUCAACAUCAACGACUGUGAGUGUAUGGUUUGCUAUGGUGAAG